rnacentral:rRNA from 1 species
UACAGAGGUCUCGAGCGUUGUUCGGAUUCAUUGGGCGUAAAGGGUGCGUAGGUGGCGCCGUAAGUCGGGUGUGAAAUUUCGGAGCUUAACUUCGAAACUGCAUUCGAUACUGCGGUGCUUGAGGACUGGAGAGGAGACUGGAAUUCAUGGUGUAGCAGUGAAAUGCGUAGAGAUCAUGAGGAAGACCAGUGGCGAAGGCGGGUCUCUGGACAGUUCCUGACACUGAGGCACGAAAGCGUGGGGAGCAAACAGG